UGGGGAAUAUUGCACAAUGGGCGAAAGCCUGAUGCAGCAACGCCGCGUGAGUGAUGAAGGUCUUCGGAUUGUAAAGCUCUGUCUUUUGGGACGAUAAUGACGGUACCAAAGGAGGAAGCCACGGCUAACUACGUGCCAGCAGCCGCGGUAAUACGUAGGUGGCGAGCGUUGUCCGGAUUUACUGGGCGUAAAGGGUGCGUAGGCGGAUGUUUAAGUGAGAUGUGAAAUACCCGGGCUUAACUUGGGUGCUGCAUUUCAAACUGGAUAUCUAGAGUGCAGGAGAGGAGAAUGGAAUUCCUAGUGUAGCGGUGAAAUGCGUAGAGAUUAGGAAGAACACCAGUGACGAAGGCGAUUCUCUGGACUGUAACUGACGCUGAGGCACGAAAGCGUGGGUAGCAAACAGGAUUAGAUACCCUGGUAGUCCACGCCGUAAACGAUGAGUACUAGGUGUAGGAGGUAUCGACCCCUUCUGUGCCGCAGUAAACACAUUAAGUACUCCGCCUGGGAAGUACGAUCGCAAGAUUAAAAC
rnacentral:rRNA from 1 species